UACAGAGGUCUCAAGCGUUGUUCGGAUUCAUUGGGCGUAAAGGGUGCGUAGGCGGCGCGGUAAGUCGGAUGUGAAAUCUCGGAGCUUAACUUCGAAACUGCAUUCGAUACUGCCGUGCUUGAGGACUGGAGAGGAGACUGGAAUUUACGGUGUAGCGGUGAAAUGCGUAGAUAUCGUAAGGAAGACCAGUGGCGAAGGCGGGUCUCUGGACAGUUCCUGACGCUGAGGCACGAAGGCCAGGGAGCAAACGGG
rnacentral:rRNA from 1 species